GUCUGUGGCCAUGCCACCCAUAAUAAGCCCCACGUAUGAUCUUGGAAGCUAAGCAGGGUCGAGCCUGGUUAGUACUUGGAUGGGAGACCACCUAGGAAGACCAGGUGCUAUAGGCA
rnacentral:rRNA from 1 species